GACGAACGCUGGCGGCGUGCUUAACACAUGCAAGUCGAACGGAAAGGCCCUGCUUGCAGGGUGCUCGAGUGGCGAACGGGUGAGUAACACGUGGGUGAUCUGCCCCUUACUUUGGGAUAAGCCUGGGAAACUGGGUCUAAUACUGGAUAGGACCAUGCUGUAGGUGGUGUGGUGGAAAGAUUAGUUUCGGUAAGGGAUGAGCUCGCGGCCUAUCAGCUUGUUGGUGGGGUAAUGGCCUACCAAGGCGUCGACGGGUAGCCGGCCUGAGAGGGUGGACGGCCACAUUGGGACUGAGAUACGGCCCAGACUCCUACGGGAGGCAGCAGUGGGGAAUAUUGCACAAUGGGCGCAAGCCUGAUGCAGCGACGCCGCGUGGGGGAUGACGGCCUUCGGAUUGUAAACUCCUUUCAGCCAUGACGAAGCCCUUGUGGUGACGGUAGUGGUAGAAGAAGCACCGGCUAACUACGUG
rnacentral:rRNA from 1 species